rnacentral:rRNA from 1 species
UACAGAGGUCUCAACCGUUGUUCGGAUUCAUUGGGCGUAAAGGGUGCGUAGGCGGUCGCGCAAGUCGGAUGUGAAAUCUCGGGGCUCAACCCCGAAACUGCAUUCGAUACUGCGUGGCUAGAGUGCUGGAGGGGAGACUGGAAUUACGGUGUAGCAGUGAAAUGCGCAGAUAUCAGGAAGAACACCAAUGGCGAAAGCAGCUCUCUGGGACGGUACUGACGCUGAGACGCGAAAGCGUGGGGAGCGAACAGG